AAACCAACAGGGAUUGCCUCAGUAACGGCGAGUGAAGCGGCAACAGCUCAAAUUUGAAAUCUGGCCCCCCGGGCCCGAGUUGUAAUUUGGAGAGGAUGCUUCUGGCGCGGCGCCGUCCGAGUUCCUUGGAACAGGACGCCGGAGAGGGUGAGAGCCCCGUACGGACGGACGCCUAGCCUCUACGAAGCUCCUUCGACGAGUCGAGUAGUUUGGGAAUGCUGCUCAAAAUGGGAGGUAAAUUUCUUCUAAAGCUAAAUACCGGCCAGAGACCGAUAGCGCACAAGUAGAGUGAUCGAAAGAUGAAAAGCACUUUGAAAAGAGGGUUAAAAAGUACGUGAAAUUGUUGAAAGGGAAGCGCCUGUGACCAGACUUGCGCCCCGCGGACCAUCCGGCGUUCUCGCCGGUGCACUCCGCGGGGUGCAGGCCAGCAUCGGUUCUGCCAGGGGGAUAAAGGCCGCGGGAACGUAGCUCCUCCGGGAGUGUUAUAGCCCGCGGCGGCAUGCCCUUGGCGGGACCGAGGACCGCGCUUCGGCAAGGAUGCUGGCGUAAUGGUCAUCGGCGAC
rnacentral:rRNA from 1 species